GAUUAACGCUGGCGGCGUGCAUAACACAUGCAAGUCGAACGAUGAAACUCAUUAGAUUUCUUCGGAAUGAAAAUGAAUGGAUUAGUGGCGAACGGGUGAGUAACGCGUGAGUAACCUGCCUUACACAAGGGGAUAGCCUCUGGAAACGGAGAAUAAUACCCUAUGAAACCAGACAAUCGCAUGAUAAUCUGGUCAAGAUGUUUAGUGGUGUAAGAUGGACUUGCGUCUGAUUAGCUAGUUGGUGAGAUAAAAGCUCACCAAGGCAACGAUCAGUAGCCGGCUUGAGAGAGUGUACGGCCACAUUGGGACUGAGACACGGCCCAGACUCCUACGGGAGGCAGCAGUGGGGAAUUUUGCACAAUGGGGGAAACCCUGAUGCAGCGACGCCGCGUGAUUUAGAAGGCCUUCGGGUUGUAAAAAUCUUUUGUAUAGGAAGAAAAUGACAGUACUAUACGAAUAAGGUCCGGCUAAUUACGUG
rnacentral:rRNA from 1 species